AGUACAAGGACCAACUGUGCCUUUCCUGUCUUGGAGCUGAGAGAGGAAGGAUCUGAUCUCUGCUGAUCCUGUUUCACUAAGCCUCAAAGGAGAUCCUGUGAAAUGAGUACCAGAGGUAGAGGCUACCUGGAUCUUUCUGGUUGGAGUUUAUUAGCAGCAAGGAGACAGAUCCCAGAGAUACUUCUCCAGCUUAUUUUACAAAUGAGGAAACUGAAGCAAACAGGAUAAAGUGAUUUGCCCAAAAUUACACAGCUACUAAGAGAAGAAACUGGCUCAUCUACUAGAUAAUAUCCUUCAGUCGAAAGAACCUUCAUGUUUCUGGGAAACCGCUCUCCAAGGAAUCUAGAUUUGGAUAACAAAUUGGUCAUUCAAUAGCCACUGAUUCAAAUGUCCCAAAGUUAGGUAGUAAAAGAGGUUGAUAGCAUGGUAGCAAAUCUUUAGAGAGAUAAUGCAAAAGAAAUCAAUUUCCUAAAAAUAAAACAGCUGCUACAGCCCAUUGGUUCUUUAUAUAUACUUUUUUUAUUAUGCUAUGAAGGUACAAUGCCUCGUAUAUUUAUAAGCCAUCUGGUUACAUUUCUUUCAAAAUGCUAAUAGCGCCUAAUGUUUGGAAAGUUGAAGCCCUGAUAUUUGCCAAGCUAUCUUAAGGCUAUUUUGAGGAGGCUUUGUAAGUCUGUCCACAGUACAAUACCCUCAAUAAGCUCAUUUCUCUCCAUCUGGACUGGAAAUCCUAAAGUGGAGAAGAGCCCAUUUCUACCUCCUUUUCAGCUUCUUUGUGGUGACCAAUGUAGCCAAACAUGACAACAGAGAAAAGUCUUUUCUAAGUGCCAAACUUUUAUAGAGUGGAGAGACAGAGAAACAGACAAAGAAAUAGAGAGACAGAGAGAUAGAGAGACAGAGAGAAACAGAGACAGAGAGAGACACACAGAGAGAGAAACAGAGAGACGUGGGAGCAGUUCUGAAUAAAGCUAGGAUCACUAUUAGAUUCUCUGCAGCAGUACUUUCCUUCUCAUCUUUUCCCUCUCUUUGCCACACAUAGUUAAUGCCCUCAGAUAUAGUUGUAUAAUGGGAGAAGCAUGUAGAUAGAGGGAGUAAGAAGGGAAAUUGUAGUGGGUGAGAGAAGGCUGGAUAAAGUGAAGAGGAGAUGAUAAUGUAGGAGGUAUUCUCCACUGGCCUUCAUCUACCCUAAUCUUCAUCCUCUCCAGUAAUCUUCUUGUCAUUCACCACAUUAUUGUGCUCUUCAGACCUUCAGUUGGGAACAUAAGGGUGACCCUUAGGCUAAGCUAUAUUGACUGGUGAGAGAAUGAAUAGUAAACUCACACAAGUCAUAGCUGGCUUCUGACCAGGCCAAUCCAUGGCCAUACCCUUUCCAAUAACUCACCCAUCUACCCUGAAGUUUCUGUCCUCCCCUCUUCUUUCAGGUUGCCUCUAUUUCACAUCCCUGGAAAGAGCAUAUCAAUCUAUUCAUCAAUGGUGAUAUUCAUAAUACACUGGCUCCCUAGACCAAAA